UACGUAGGUGGCGAGCGUUGUCCGGAUUUACUGGGCGUAAAGGGAGCGUAGGCGGACUUUUAAGUGAGAUGUGAAAUACCCGGGCUCAACUUGGGUGCUGCAUUUCAAACUGGAAGUCUAGAGUGCAGGAGAGGAGAAUGGAAUUCCUAGUGUAGCGGUGAAAUGCGUAGAGAUUAGGAAGAACACCAGUGGCGAAGGCGAUUCUCUGGACUGUAACUGAUGCUGAGGCUCGAAAGCGUGGGGAGCAAACAGGAUUAGAUACCCCCGUA
rnacentral:rRNA from 1 species